CCUAACCAACCUACUCUUAGGUCUACUAGUCCCAGCGGAGCUGAAGCUAUGGAUAUCAGCAUCUUCAGGGGUCCGCUAUCACCGGAUGAACGUAUGAGAAGAAAGACCCGGGGCCUUUGCAUGUAUUGUGGUGAUCCAGCUCACAGUCUUAAGGACUGCCCUAUCAUACCUCAGAAAAAGAACAUGGGCAAGUAAACAGAUCUCAGUCCCUGCUAUCGUUGACACCGGAGCUCAAGGCAACUACAUUGACAGCUCAUUAGUCUCUAUCAAUAAAAUACCACUGAUUAAGAAA